rnacentral:tRNA from 1 species
GAUUCCUUAGCUCAGUUGGUCAGAGCGCGGUCCUUUUAAGUCCGGCGUCCUCGGUUCGAGUCCGAGAGGAAUCAC